AUACGUAGGGUGCAAGCGUUAAUCGGAAUUACUGGGCGUAAAGCGUGCGCAGGCGGUUUUGUAAGACAGAGGGGAAAUCCCCGGGCUCAACCUGGGAACUGCCUUUGUGACUGCAAGGCUAGAGUACGGCAGAGGGGGAUGGAAUUCCGCGGGGAGCAGGGAAAUGCGUAGAUAUGCGGAGGAACACCGAUGGCGAAGGCAAUCCCCUGGGCCUGUACUGACGCUCAUGCACGAAAGCGUGGGGAGCAAACAGGAUUAGAUACCCUGGUAGUCCACGCCCUAAACGAUGUCAACUGGUUGUUGGGUCUUCAUUGACUCAGUAACGAAGCUAACGCGUGAAGUUGACCGCCUGGGGAGUACGGCCGCAAGGUUGAAACUCAAAUGAAUUGACGGGG
rnacentral:rRNA from 1 species